rnacentral:lncRNA from 1 species
AAAUGUACAACCCGUACUCUCCUUCAUGCCACCAACCAGGUGAUGAAAUGCACAACCCGUACUCUAAUAUCAUUUGGCAACUUGCCACUCAUGCCACCAACCAGUUGAAGAAGGAACUCAUCUUCAUGCCACUAACCAGGUGAUAAAAUGUAUAACCUGUACUCUUCUUCAUGCCACCAACCAGGUGAUGAAAUGUACAACCCAUACUCUAAUAUCAUUUGGCAACUUGCCAUUCAUGCCACCAACCAGGGAAAAAAGGAACUCACCUUCGUACCACCAACCAAGUGAUGAAAGCAACUCACCAUUCAUUCCACCUACUAGAAGACGAGUGGUACAACUUGUACAUUUGAACUCCUAGCAUUCACAAAUAAUAAAAAACCCUCAAGCUUGACAACUCAACUAGGUGAGCACUUAUGCCCAACAAGAGUUAUAGUCACCAACAAAGUCUUAUUGCAAGCCAACAACAACUUCAGUGCAUGGUGUACGAAGAUCAAGCUAUUCAGCCCUUUUGCAUCUGCUUCAAACAUUUCCCCUCUGUAACAAUGCAAACACUACAACUCG